ensembl:snoRNA SNORA66 Small nucleolar RNA SNORA66
GUGCAGACUUGAUCACUAACAAUGCAUGUUGUUGCAGAAGUGAAGAGAACCAGGUUUGCUAAAAUAACUGUGGUGAUAGAAAUGUAUUUGCUUCAGAAGCUACUGAAGUGGCCUGCUCUACCCUACCCUAUUA